AUUGAACGCUGGCGGCAGGCCUAACACAUGCAAGUCGAACGGCAGCACAGAAGAGCUUGCUCUUUGGGUGGCGAGUGGCGGACGGGUGAGUAAUGUCUGGGAAACUGCCCGAUGGAGGGGGAUAACUACUGGAAACGGUAGCUAAUACCGCAUAACGUCGCAAGACCAACGUGGGGGACCUUCGGGCCUCACACCAUCGGAUGUGCCCAGAUGGGAUUAGCUAGUAGGUGGGGUAAUGGCUCCCCUAGGCGACGAUCCCUAGCUGGUCUGAGAGGAUGACCAGCCACACUGGAACUGAGACACGGUCCAGACUCCUACGGGAGGCAGCAGUGGGGAAUAUUGCACAAUGGGCGCAAGCCUGAUGCAGCCAUGCCGCGUGUAUGAAGAAGGCCUUCGGGUUGUAAAGUACUUUCAGCGGGGAGGAAGGCGGUGAGGUUAAUAACCUUGCCGAUUGACGUUACCCGCAGAAGAAGCACCGGCUAACUCCGUGCCAGCAGCCGCCGUAA
rnacentral:rRNA from 1 species